rnacentral:rRNA from 1 species
UCGGGAAUAUUGCGCAAUGGAGGAAACUCUGACGCAGUGACGCCGCGUAUAGGAAGAAGGUUUUCGGAUUGUAAACUAUUGUCGUUAGGGAAGAUACAAGACAGUACCUAAGGAGGAAGCCCCGGCUAACUAUGUGCCAGCAGCCGCGGUAAUACAUAGGGGGCAAGCGUUAUCCGGAUUUAUUGGGUGUAAAGGGUGCGUAGAUGGAGGAGCAAGUUGGUUGUGAAAUCCCUCGGCUCAACUGAGGAACUGCAACCAAAACUACUUCCCUUGAGUGUCGGAGAGGAAAGUGGAAUUCCUAGUGUAGCGGUGAAAUGCGUAGAUAUUAGGAGGAACACCAGUGGCGAAGGCGACUUUCUGGACGAUAACUGACAUUGAGGCACGAAAGUGUGGGGAGCAAACAGGAUUAGAUACC